GAUGAAGAACGCAGCGAAAUGCGAUAAGUAAUGUGAAUUGCAGAAUUCAGUGAAUCAUCGAAUCUUUGAACGCACAUUGCGCCCGCCAGUAUUCUGGCGGGCAUGCCUGUUCGAGCGUCAUUACAACCCUCAGGCCCCCGGGCCUGGCGUUGGGGAUCGGCGGAAGCCCCCUGUGGGCACACGCCGUCCCUCAAAUACAGUGGCGGUCCCGCCGCAGCUUCCAUUGCGUAGUAGCUAACACCUCGCAACUGGAGAGCGGCGCGGCCAUGCCGUAAAACACCCAACUUCUGAAUGUUGACCUCGAAUCAGGUAGGAAUACCCGCUGAACUUAAGCAUAUCAAUAACGGAGGA
rnacentral:misc_RNA from 1 species